UAGAAGGAGAAAAAGAAGUCCAAAAAAAAUGUGUGAGAAUAAAGUUGGUAAGAAUUGAAACAGUUUCGGCUUUUUAACAGCAACUACAAGACUACAAAGUGAGACUCAGAUUUUAGUUUGAAACUUUCAAGACUGCAGUGAGAGAGACAGUAAAAUGAGUGCUACAAUGCUGAGUACUCCCCACAUGUUGGGACAGUUUGUCGGGUUUCUGGUGAGAAUGUGCUUCAAAAAAGUGAAACGAAAUUUGAGUACUUUUGAGAAAAAUGAGAGUGUUGGAGCCAUCAGUCGGAGGUUGAUUAUGUGAUUCAAAAGUGGAGAGAAAAAUUUGGAGAUUUGGCAAAAAUUUGGCAUGGAGAUGAAACUUCUUUCAACCUUCAAUCAAGAUAUUUCAAACUGAUUUCUAUGAAGCUAUGAGAAGAAAAAGUUCUAUAAGCCAAGGAAGACCAUCGAUUUAUGGGUUUCAUAAAAGACAAUGAAAUAUUAUUCUAAUUUAUUCCUAUUCUUAUACUAUUUUUUAUUUUUUCAAAGUCUAGCCUAUAUACUUAUUAUUGUUUGAAGUUGCUUUCUUAUAAUAAGAAAUAUAAAUUUAUUUAUUAAACAACCCCUUUCCAAUGAAUUUUUGGUCUGCUGUGCAGAAAGAAAAUACCUAUCAUUUAUUCUUAUAUGGGAGUGUUCACUCGUUAGCAGACUGAGGCCCAGUUUCACAAAAGCCGGUUAGAUUUUAACCGUGAUUUAUUUCACGAGAACCAAUCAGAGAAGGUCUUUUUGAGAAGAAGGCGUCAGGCUUCAAAAUGAUUGAUUCUCAUGGAAUUAAUCACGGUUAAAUUUUAACCGGCUUUUGUGCAACUGGCAUCAAGAAUUUAUGUAAACACUCCCAAGAACAAAUGGAAUAAUUCUCUUUUUGCACAGUAGUGUUGAAGUUCAUUUUAUAGCAGGGCUUAAUUCAUUUCUAUUGAAAACUUUAUGAAGAGCAUUUUAUCCAGUAUGAGUUCAAUUUUCAUUAUUUCACACAUUUCAUUAUUUCACACAUUUGAUUUGGAACGAUCCCUAUAACGUUCCAAAAUAAUGAAUGUAUAAAUAGUAGUGAGUUUGGAAUUUCAUUGAUGUUUGAAUGUAAUUUUAUUAAUAUUAAUGUUUCUAAUAAAAUCUUUUGUAUCGAA